UACGGAGGGGGCUAGCGUUGUUCGGAAUUACUGGGCGUAAAGCGCACGUAGGCGGCUUUGUAAGUUAGAGGUGAAAGCCCAGGGCUUAACCCUGGAAUUGCCUUUAAGACUGCAUCGCUCGAAUUGUGGAGAGGUGAGUGGAAUUCCGAGUGUAGAGGUGAAAUUCGUAGAUAUUCGGAAGAACACCAGGUGGCGAAGGCGACUCACUGGACACAUAUUGACGGCUGAGGCACGAAAAGCGUGGGGAGCAAACAGG
rnacentral:rRNA from 1 species